UUACAAAUUUUUGUGUAGACAAAUUCGUUUCGCCGGUGAAUCAUCCAUAUUGAACAUUGUAUACGAAGCUGCGACAUGGCUGAGGAACCUGAUCGGAGUAGUGGCGGCAAAAGAUUUUCCAACCGAGCCUUCCGAGAAGGUGUCGAAGAUCGAUUAUGUUCAGAGAAUUGUGGAAUUGUCUGUGUAAUCUGAUUGGAUUUUUUAUACGAGUUUUUUGACUCCAGAUAUUCUAAUAAAUUGUACUCUCCUUUUU